CCUACGGGAGGCAGCAGUAAGGGAUAUUGGUCAAUGGGGGAAACCCUGAACCAGCAACGCCGCGUGAGGGAAGACGGUCUUCGGAUUGUAAACCUCUGUUCUCUGUGAAGAUGAUGACGGUAGCAGAGGAGGAAGCUCCGGCUAACUACGUGCCAGCGGCCGCGGUACUACGUAGGGAGCGAGCGUUGUCCGGAUUUACUGGGUGUAACGGGUGCGUAGGGGGCUUGGCAGGUCAGUAGGGAAAGCCAUGGGCUUAACCCAUGAACUGCUAUUGAAACUGUCGAGCUUGAGUGAAGACGAGGUAGGCGGAAUGCGCGGUGUAGCGGUGAAAUGCGUAGAGAUCGCGAGGAACACCGGUGGCGAAGGCAGCCUACUGGGCUUUAACUGACGCUGAGGCACGAAAGCGUGGGUAGCAAACAGGAUUAGAUACCCCUGUAGUC
rnacentral:rRNA from 1 species